GUGGUGUCACAAAAUCGGAGGCCACGACUGUUUACUAAAAACACAAUUCAGAGCAAUGAUGAAAAUCAUAGUAUUCUGGAUGAAAUUUGCCCGAUGCCAUUAACAUAAAAGAGGUAAUGGGAAACUGUUACUAAUUGAAAGUCUGGUUAAUAGCGGUCUUAACUAUGAGGAUCCUAAGGUAGCAAAAUCAGUUGGCCAUUAAAUGUGGUCUGGUAUCAAUAGUGUAACGAUGGUCUCACUGUCUCUACAACUUGCUCAGUGAAAUUGAAUUAUCCGUGCAGAUGCGGAUUGCCUCC
rnacentral:rRNA from 1 species